rnacentral:rRNA from 1 species
CCCUUAGAUGUUCUGGGCCGCACGCGCGCUACACUGUUCGACGCAGCGAGUCUUAACCUUGACCGAAAGGUUUGGGUAAUCUUCAGCAAAGUCGAACGUGAUGGGGAUCGAUCAUUGCAAUUAUUGAUCGUGAACGAGGAAUUCCUAGUAAGUGCAAGUCAUCAGCUUGCGCUGAUUACGUCCCUGCCCUUUGUACACACCGCCCGUCGCUACUACCGAUUGAAUGGUUUAGUGAGAUCUCUGGAUUGACGCUGGCUAGGGGGCGACCCUUGGCCAGACUGUUGAGAAACUGCUCAAACUUGAUCAUUUAGAGGAGGUAAAAGUCGUAACA